rnacentral:rRNA from 1 species
GAGCUGAUCGCCUCCACGGGUCACACCAAUGCAGUGGAUUGGUGGACCCUGGGCAUCCUCGUCUUUGAGCUGAUGUGUGGCCAUCCUCCCUUCGAGAGUGCGUAUCCAAUGCAGAU